UUUAACUGAGCGUUCAGUUACUUGACGUAGACCCGAAACCGGGCGACCUACCCAUGAGCAGGAUGAAGCGAAAGUAAAAUUUCGUGGAGGUCCGAACCCACGAGCGUUGAAAAGCUCGGGGAUGACUUGUGGGUAGCGGUGAAAUUCCAAUCGAGCCCGGAGAUAGCUGGUUCUCCCCGAAAUAGCUUUAGGGCUAGCCUCAAGGUGAGAGAUACGGAGGUAGAGCACUGAAUGUCCUAGGGGGUAUUGCACCUACCGAAGACUAUCAAACUCCGAAUGCCGUCAUCUUAUACUUGGGAGUCAGACUGUGGGUGAUAAGAUUCAUAGUCGAAAGGGCAACAGCCCAGAUCGUCAGCUAAGGUCCCUAAAUGUAAGUUAAGUGGUAAAGGAUGUGGGAUUGCACAGACAACCAGGAUGUUGGCUUAGAAGCAGCCACUCAUUCAAAGAGUGCGUAAUAGCUCACUGGUCGAGUGAUCCUGCGCCGAAGAUUUCCGGGGCUAAAACUUACUACCGAAGCUACGGCAUCAUUAUGAUGGGUAGGGGAGCUUCCCAUACGGGUUGAAGCAUGACCGUAAGGACAUGUGGACAGUAUGGGAGUGAGAAUGUUGGCAUGAGUAGCGAGAUGUGGGUGAGAAUCCCACAGGCCGUAAACCCAAGGUUUCCAGGGGAAGGUUCGUCCGCCCUGGGUUAGUCGGGACCUAAGCUGAGGCCGAAAGGCGUAGGUGAUGGACAACAGGUUGAUAUUCCUGUACUACCGAUAACCGUUUGAGAGAAGGGAUGACACAGUAGGAUAAGCUAAGCACACUGUUGGUUAUGUGUGCCCAAGCAUUGAGGCAGUCAAAGUAGGCAAAUCCGCUUUGAUAAUGCUGGGAUGUGAUGGGGAGCGAAAUUUAGUAGCGAAGUAGCUGAUUUCACACUGUCAAGAAAAGUCUCUAUCGAGGUUAAAGGUACCCGUACCGCAAACCGACACAGGUGGGUGAGGAGAGUAUCCUAAGGCCAGCGAGAGAACUGUUGUUAAGGAACUCGGCAAAAUGACCCCGUAACUUAGGGAUAAGGGGUGCCACCAUCAGGUGGCCGCAGAGAAUAGGCCCAAGCGACUGUUUACCAAAAACAUAGGUUUCUGCUAAGUCGCAAGACGAUGUAUAGGAGCUGACGCCUGCCCGGUGCUGGAAGGUUAAGGGGAUCUGUUA
rnacentral:rRNA from 1 species